rnacentral:rRNA from 1 species
GGGAGGGAGGAGCGGGGCCGAGGGACGAGGGGAGGGGAAGGUCUAGCGGCGGUGGUGGAGGGAGGAGGAGGGAGCAGGGACGAGGGACGAGGCGGAGCUGCCCGGCCACGUGGCGGUACUGGCGUUGCUCGGGUUAGGGUAGCGGCUUAGAGCCUUGUAGCGGUGGUGAGGGACGAGGCGCCGCCGGCUCCGCCGCAUCCUCGACGCCCUGCGCCACCGCCGGGAGCGGCACGCGGCGCGGCGGCUGCUCUUACGCGACGCCGCGGCGCGGCAGCGCGACCUGCGGCUGCAGGCGGCGGAUGUCCCGAGGGAGCGGGGGGAGCUGGGGCGGUGCGAGCUGCUCAAUCACGGAGGUUACACCAGCUGUCACUCACGUAGCCCCUAAGCCCCAGCAGAAGUUCUUCCUGUUCUGGUCCCAGAGGUUACCUGGUCCCCAAACACGUCCGGUAGUGGUACCAUGCGGCUCCACGACGCCCACAGUUCCUCCUGCAGUCAAGAUCGACGAAUCUAAUGAGCUCCGUACUAAACUAAGCCAUGUUCCCCAAGCAGUACGGUCCGAGGAGAAAAGACGACGAAGGUACGUUGCCACCACCGUCGACACAAAAAGCCGUAGCCGAUGUUUUUGUCGGUACCACUGGAGGAAAGGAAGGAGACGAGGUAAAUUAGUGCUAGUCAAAUACCUCCACAACGAAUAAACCAGUCUAAAGGAAUGAACGAAGUCCGUAUUCUUAUUCGAAUAUUCUUGGCUCAUCUUACGAGAUACAAGUGCUCAGUGGAAAGAACAUACUUGCUCGUAGAGUAAAAUUGAUCGACCUCUUGUUUUUCGUACCAUGAUGGAGUUAAACACAAUAGUAAGAUUUAUUGAUAGGAAAAGAACUUACCAGACAAGUAUUAUAUAAACGGGGUCAAAAAAACUAAGAAGAGAUAACUAAGUACAAUUUCCCGCUGGCUCCUUCCGUACAACAGACAAAAGAACUUCCGGCAAGACAAACAAGGGUCGGGAUUGAUGCCAACAGGUCGAUCAAGCCGUACAACAAGUAUAGUGAUACCAUCAGGUUGCUCAAACCGUACAACAUUCAAACCGUACAAGUACUGCCCUCGUCCACGGUCAAACACU